GCCACUGACUGUCCGUUUGAUCUACAACCACCAAACUACCACUUUCCCCUUGAUUUAUAAUCGCAGUGCCACUAUCUUCUUGAUCUAUACAAUCAAACUAGUGAAACUACAACUUUUCCCUUGAUCUACAAUUAAACUGACACUACCUUCUUGAUCUACAACCAAACUACCACUUUUCCCUUCAUCUACAAUAAAACUGACACUAUCUUCUUCAUCUACAAUCAAACUACCACUAUCCCCUUCAUCUAUCAAAACUGACACUAUCUUCCUGAUCUAUAAUCUCAAUGGCAAUAUCUUCUUCUACAUUUUCUUUUCCUCUACUUAAUCAUGCUCUUUUCUUUUCUCAUGUUUUGUUUCUUCUUCCUUUUGCUCAUUUGUUCUGCCAUACUUAUAUCAUUAAAUGAUAUCUGGUUUAGCCUAAAAUAUCCUUAAAGAUAUUAUUUUGCAGUGUGCAUUAAAGCGAUAUUUUUUGUCAAGAGACCAGUUUCGUUAACAUUUGUAUAGUUGUAUUGGAAAAAAAAAUUGCAUGCGAGAAGACAUAUUUAAAAAAAAACAUGCAUACACAGCUGACAACCUGGAAAAAA